rnacentral:rRNA from 1 species
UACGGGGGGGGCAAGCGUUGUUCGGAAUUACGGGGCGUAAAGGGCGCGUAGGCGGCCUGCUAAGUCGGAUGUGAAAUCCCUCGGCUCAACCGGGGAACUGCAUCUGUGACUGCAUAGCUAGAGUACGGUAGAGGGGGAUGGAAUUCCGCGUGUAGCAGUGAAAUGCGUAGAUAUGCGGAGGAACACCGAUGGCGAAGGCAAUCCCCUGGACCUGUACUGACGCUCAUGCACGAAAGCGUGGGGAGCAAACAGG